ensembl:lncRNA
CACAGGUGCCGUCCGGCCAGGGCUGUGGUCUCCACGAGGCUGCAGGGUGGGCCCUGGAUGGAGCGGCCUUGCCAAUAAAGCUUCAGACGAGGAGCUUGCACCAUCUACAUUAGGCCACCGGCGUCCUCCUGAAUAGCAGGGGGUGCCCCACCUUGGGCUCCCUCUCGUGUGGAUCUUAGAAGCCGGGGCAAGUGCCUAAAAGAUAAAGAAUGUGGAGGCCUGGCAGCAGUCAUUGAGUCAACAGUGAAAACCUGUCACCAAUAUGAUUUUUGGCUCUUUAGAAAAGGCUCUGUAUCUUUAAGAUGCUUUAAGCUUUGUGCCUCUUGCGGUUGAGGAGCUAUAAACAAU